rnacentral:lncRNA from 1 species
UUCCUGCUGUCCAGAUGAUGGGGAGAAGGAGAAGACCAUAAAUUGGCGCUCUGCUCUGCUCUGCGUCGCUUCACAUCGAAGCGGGGUUAAUCCUGAGGGAAUUCGAGUGCGCCUGCAUGCGAAAGAACCGAAUUUGUUUUUUAUUUAAAUAAUCAAUAUCCUCCGCCCGGAAUCAUUUGAACACUUCGUGAAAUUUUGAGAUAGAAAAUACACGUAGCUACGUGAGUGCAAAGCAAAACCGAUAUGCAAUUAACUGCUCAACUAUGAGCAAGUAAGUCUGCCCGCAAUCUGUUCGAUAGAAAUGCUAGCAAGACAAAACCAAAUGGAAGUUAUUUAUGUAUACUUGUUAUCUUAUAUAGAAAAGAAAAGAAAAGAAAGGUGAGACAGAUACAGAAUUCCAACCUUGGUUCGGUUCAGUAAUUUCUUCGUGGCCGUAAACCGCAUCAAGAGCACAUCAUUUCAUAGGCGGCCAAGGGGUGGAACUCCUCGCCGUCGCCGUUGCGGUUGGAGAGCCGGACACGGGGCCACAAGGUGGGGUGGAGGGGAUGAGCAACCAGGAAAACACUGGUCGAUCGCGAGCAAAGCAGGCUGCUGUGCCGGCCGGACGAAACCAAAAAAUAAAAAUGACCCGGAAAUGGAGCAGGAGUAGUCGGGAUGAUUUGG